UACCAAACAGAAGCCCCAUAGAUUGAAAUGUAAUAGAGUAUUGUACUUAUAAAUGAAAGAAUUCAACUAAACAACCUAAAAUUAGUAGACAAAACAAUACUCUUUCAUUCUUUCUGUUGUAAAGUAACUCAAGUAAUAUUAUAGAAUCCAUAACAACAUUUGAGUAUGGUAGACCAAAUCAAGGUGAUGUCUUGGUAUUGGAGUUUGCGUAUAAUGAAAAAUGUUUCUUGCCUUCACUAUGAAUGGUGUUGGAAUUCAGGGGAGUGUCUUUUGAGGUAAUUUUGGGCUUAUCAUUGUGGAGGGUUGUAGCUGCUGUUUUGCUGAUUGGUGUGUCAAUUCAUUGCAAGCCGUCGUGAUUUGUUGUCGUGGCUGUUUUGGUGUUGUCAUCGGGCAUCUCAUGCUGCCUUCUAUCACAGGGCCAGCAGGUUUUUGUGGGAUUUUGCUAGUUUGUAGGAGUUGAAUGUUAGUGGGGGUUCUUUGGUUUUGAGCAUGAGGAGUUAAGUUCAUGUUCAUCUAGACUGUCGGGGAAAGGAAAAUGACAUUUAGUAAUGAGGUUAAUGCUGCAGCUAGGCAUUCUCCUCAGGGAAAAAGGGUGUGGAAAAUGAUGGUGAAGUGGCGUUGGACCCUCUAACAUUGGCUACAGACGACCAACUUUGCGAAAUGGAUAGGCUACGAACUGAUGCUGCGGUUACCUCUACCAUUUUUAGUUGUGCCAGUAUUGACCAUAUUCAUUCAAACAGUAGAGGACUUGAUGCUGGAAGUUCAAACAAUAUUGAGUAGGGCAGAAAGUUUUGCAUACUAAAAAAAAAGAUAUACAAUCAUGCAAUUGAGAUUAUUAUACAUUCUUGAAAGUUUGCUAAUGAGAUGUUUGCUGAAGAAGAGAAGAAAACACACGUGUAGACAGAGCAAAGGAGUAUCAUUGGUAGCUAUGGGCAUUGGACAUAUUUACUCAACCUUUACUAGUGUACUUCGAACCCAAGUUUGAAUAUGAAAUUGAAGAUAAUGAAGAUCUAGAGAAGUUUGAGACUUCAACUGAUGCACCUCCCAUCUAGACAAUUGUUGACCACCAUUUUUUUUAUCAACUUGUCAUUGUAUCAUAUAAAAUGUUAUGUGUUUGAAAAUGAAACCAUGUACUUUAUUGUCUUCCCAACUGUUUAAAAUGACUUUCAUAUUGUAAAUAUAAAAUUGGUGUACUUUUGAAUUGUUUCCAGAUUGUAAAAAUAAAGGUAAUAUAUUUUUUAA